GCCCACAUAGCUCAGUGGCAGAGCGCAUCCUUGGUAAGGAUGAGGUCGCCGGUUCAAUCCCGGCUGUGGGCUCCA
rnacentral:tRNA from 1 species